UAAUAGGUUCCUUUUGGAGGGAAUGAUUUAAUGGACUUAGGUAUUGUUAGGAGAUGGAUAUUAUGCAGAGAGGACUGCGAAGCAGACUAUGGAUAUUUUGCAUAGGAGGGGCAAGGCAAUGGAAGCCCAGGUUGAGGCUUUGAAGGCGACGAUGUUGGAUCUUGAGGCUGAGGCUAAGUUCUUCAAUUCCACAACAGAAGAGGCUACUAUUAGAACAGUGGAUAUUUUAACUCAGAAAACUAGGCAUUUGAAGGUGAAAAGUGGUGAG